rnacentral:rRNA from 1 species
CGAAACUAACAGAUUUACUUCGGUAAUGACGUUAGGAAAGCGAGCGGCGGAUGGGUGAGUAACACGUGGGGAACCUGCCCCAUAGUCUGGGAUACCACUUGGAAACAGGUGCUAAUACCGGAUAAGAAAGCAGAUCGCAUGAUCAGCUUUUAAAAGGCGGCGUAAGCUGUCGCUAUGGGAUGGCCCCGCGGUGCAUUAGCUAGUUGGUAAGGUAAAGGCUUACCAAGGCGAUGAUGCAUAGCCGAGUUGAGAGACUGAUCGGCCUCAUUGGGACUGAGACACGGCCCAAACUCCUACGGGAGGCAGCAGUAGGGAAUCUUCCACAAUGGACGCAAGUCUGAUGGAGCAACGCCGCGUGAGUGAAGAAGGUUUUCGGAUCGUAAAGCUCUGUUGUUGGUGAA